rnacentral:rRNA from 1 species
AUACGUAGGGGGCGAGCGUUAUCCGGAUUCAUUGGGCGUAAAGCGCGCGUAGGCGGCCUGCUAGGUCGGGACUCAAAUCCGGGGGCUCAACCCCCGCCCGGUCCCGAUACCGACAGGCUUGCGUCUGGUAGGGGAAGGCGGAAUUCCAAGUGUAGCGGUGGAAUGCGCAGAUACUUGGAAGAACACCGGUGGCGAAGGCGGCCUUCUGGGCCACGGCUGCCGCGGAGGCGCGAAAGCUAGGGGAGCGAACAGGAUUAGUUCCCCGGUUAGUCCUACCCGUAAACGAUGGACACUAUGUGUGGGGGGAUGUGCCCUCCGUGCCGCAGCCAACGCAUUAAGUGUCCCGCCUGGGGAGUACGGCCGCAAGGCUAAAACUCAAAUGAAUUGACUGGG